GGCGCGAGCCUGCGUUUUCCGGCCAGAGGA
rnacentral:piRNA from 1 species